GGGGCAUUUCAUUCUUGAUCAUCUCACAGAAGAACUUGCCUACUUGGGAAACCUUUUUAUCUUUUAUCAGACGAUGAAAAAUCAUAUUAUAAGUUAAAAUAUCUGGAAAAGCUCCAUUGAAGACCAUCUCAUCAAGCAACCGAAAUGCAUUGUCAAUGUCACUCUUGUUGCAAAGCAAGCUAAUCAUCCUAUUGUACAUAAUCAAAUUAGGCACUAACCCACUGUCCAGCAUUAUAUCCCACAAUGGGACAGAAUUCACAUAAUCAUUCUGCUUACAAAGCAUAUCAAGAGUAUUAGAGAAAAAUUUCAAACCUGGGACGCAAGCCUUCCCCUUCAUAACAUUGAGGAACUUGAGAGCCUCAUCUAUUUGCGAGGCUUGAACAAGUGUGGUCAAAAACGCAUCAUAUGCAGGUACGUUUGAUGGGCUCCAUCCAAUGCGAACAACCAUCUCGUCAAAUGUAAUCCUUGCUUUUGCAGGGUUGCCUUCCUUCUCCCACCCUUCCAACAAAAUAGCAAAUGU
rnacentral:misc_RNA from 1 species